rnacentral:lncRNA from 1 species
GAAAUGGGAAACUUAGUUGGCCCCAGUGCCCCAUCUGGACUGGGAUGGAGGGCAGCCUAAAUUCUUAAUCCAAGUGAGUGAGUGUUCCAGAUACCUGGAGAUCUGCCUGGGUUUGGAGUAAAGAGGGCCCCCCUGCUGCAAGAUCUCUGCACAGAAAGGGUAUGGCAGCUCAGGCUGUUGUUUCAAGGAAGCUGGAACUCAGAAUGCCUGGAGAUCUGCCUGGUCAUGUAGCAGAGAGGUCUUCCUUGCACCACAGUCUCUGCACAGGGAAGGUGUGAUGGCUCAGAGCGCCACAGGAGAGUGAGUGCUUGAGAUGUCUGGAGAUCUGCUAGAGCAUACAGCAGAGAGGUCACACCUGCACCAGGAUCUCUGCACAGGAAGGACAGGGUGUCUCAGGCUGCUGAUCCACAGCUCCAAGCCUCUCCCCAAGCUAGAUCCGACGAUUGGGAGAAACAAAGUGCUCUCCCUCCGCCUGAGUUCCUUAAAUCUCCAGUGGAAAGACUUGGCUGGAUUCACUAGAUUGGUACAAGAAGAUCAAAGACAAUCCCUUCCUUCAAA